rnacentral:rRNA from 1 species
GACGAACGCUGGCGGCGUGCUUAACACAUGCAAGUCGAGCGGAAAGGCCCUUUCGGGGGUACUCGAGCGGCGAACGGGUGAGUAACACGUGAGUAAUCUGCCCUUCACUUGGGGAUAACCUCCGGAAACGGUGGCUAAUACCCGAUACGACCAUUCCUCGCAGGAGGUGGUGGUGGAAAGUUUUUCGGUGGGGGAUGUGCUCGCGGCCUAUCAGCUUGUUGGUGGGGUAAUGGCCUACCAAGGCUUCGACGGGUAGCCGGCCUGAGAGGGUGACCGGCCACACUGGGACUGAGACACGGCCCAGACUCCUACGGGAGGCAGCAGUGGGGAAUAUUGGACAAUGGGCGGAAGCCUGAUCCAGCAACGCCGCGUGAGGGAUGACGGCCUUCGGGUUGUAAACCUCUUUCACCUGUGACGAAGCGAAAGUGACGGUAGCAGGAGAAGAAGCACCGGCCAACUACGUG